UGGGAAAUAUUGGACAAUGGGCGCAAGCCUGAUCCAGCCAUACCGCGUGGGUGAAGAAGGCCUUCGGGUUGUAAAGCCCUUUUGUUGGGAAAGAAAUCCAGCCGGCUAAUACCUGGUUGGGAUGACGGUACCCAAAGAAUAAGCACCGGCUAACUUCGUGCCAGCAGCCGCGGUAAUACGAAGGGUGCAAGCGUUACUCGGAAUUACUGGGCGUAAAGCGUGCGUAGGUGGUCGUUUAAGUCCGUUGUGAAAGCCCUGGGCUCAACCUGGGAACUGCAGUGGAUACUGGGCGACUAGAGUGUGGUAGAGGGUAGCGGAAUUCCUGGUGUAGCAGUGAAAUGCGUAGAGAUCAGGAGGAACAUCCAUGGCGAAGGCAGCUACCUGGACCAACACUGACACUGAGGCACGAAAGCGUGGGGAGCAAAC
rnacentral:rRNA from 1 species